rnacentral:rRNA from 1 species
UACGUAGGGGCUAGCGUUGUCCGGAAUCAUUGGGCGUAAAGCGCGUGUAGGCGGCCCGGUAAGUCCGCUGUGAAAGUCGGGGGCUCAACCCUCGAAUGCCGGUGGAUACUGUCGGGCUAGAGUGCGGAAGAGGCGAGUGGAAUUCCUGGUGUAGCGGUGAAAUGCGCAGAUAUCAGGAGGAACACCUAGUUGCGAAGGCAGCUCGCUGGGACGUAACUGACGCUGAGACGCGAAAGCGUGGGGAGCAAACAGG